ACGCUCGACACCUACUGGAGGCAGCAGUGGGGAAUAUUGCACAAUGGGGGAAACCCGUGAUGCAGCGACGCCGCGUGGAGGAAGAAGGUCUUCGGAUUGUAAACUCCUGUUGUUGGGGAAAAAGAGGAUGGUACCCAACAAGGAAGUGACGGCUAACUACGUGCCAACAGCCGCGGUAAUCUGAGCGGGCUGGCAAGGC
rnacentral:rRNA from 1 species